GAAAAGGAGAAAAAAAGCCCAGCGCCCCGCACGAUCCUGCCUCCUCGAUCUCAUCUCCACCUCCAUCCCGCCGCCACCUCCUGCCCCGCGCCGCCUCGACCAGGACCGCGCCCCUCCACAAACGACGGCGAUGAUGGAGCGCGGCGCCCAGCACCUGGCCGACAGAUUCGCCGGCUCCCCGCUCCUCGGGGCCAGCCCCUCCCCCGUGCCGGGUCGAGCAUCGGCUUGGAGGCCAACACACCAGCACGGGUUCGCUCGAUCCGUCCGGGUAGGGCGCCGCCGGCGGUCUUCUUCUCCGGCCAUCCGUCGUCGGCGGCCGUUCUUCCUGCUCCCGUGCCUCUGAUUUGGAUCGAGGUCGCGGUGGUAGUGGUUCGGCGGCGAUGGCGGCGUUGGAAGCAGCGGCGGCGGGUGGUGGGGUCCGGCAGCGGGUGCAGGGGCUAUGUCGCGGUGAUGGGGAGCUGCAGAUCUGUGUCCAUGGUCGGACCACCGCGGACAGGGGUUUCUUCCCGGAUUGUUGAUGAAUAUACUUGGGGAUUCAUGAUUCUUGCAUCCCAUGAUGUGGAGAUUCGUUGGGAUUUUGGGCGAGGGAGAUGGGGUGUGAUUUGGGGGGAUCACGCCUCGGAUUCUUGGGGUCACCGGGGAUGCGGUGAUUGA
rnacentral:rRNA from 1 species